GCCGGGAUAGCUCAGCUGGGAGAGCAACAGACUGAAGUAAUCCAAUGUGAUGUAUAGGUUCUUCUGGAGGUCCCGUGUUCAAUCCACGGUCCUGGCA